rnacentral:rRNA from 1 species
UACGGAGGGUGCGAGCGUUAUUCGGAAUCACUGGGCGUAAAGCGCGCGUAGGCGGGCCGUUAAGACAGGUGUGAAAUCCCUGGGCUCAACCUAGGAAUUGCGCUUGUGACUGGCGGGCUCGAGUACGGUAGAGGGGGGUGGAAUUCCUGGUGUAGCAGUGAAAUGCGUAGAGAUCAGGAGGAACACCGAUGGCGAAGGCAGCCCCCUGGGCCUGUACUGACGCUCAUGCACGAAAGCGUGGGGAGCAAACAGG